rnacentral:rRNA from 1 species
UUCCGUAGGUGAAAUGGUUUGCCUGCAGAAUUCCCAUUAGCGACUCUAAAUAACUAUGCUGUCGGCUUAUUGCCGGCGUUACCGUCCAAAUGCUGGGCGUAGGAUGGCGAAAGCCUCCUAUCGUCAGCAGCCGGCGACCUCUGGUCCCGGUUCACAGAUCACGCAACGGUGGCACCCCGAAGUGCUAAGAUAUGAUCGGUUACACCCCCUCCCGGGGAUGUGAAGCGCGGAACCUGCGGAAGGAUCAUUAU